rnacentral:rRNA from 1 species
GACGAACGCUGGCGGCGUGCCUAAUACAUGCAAGUCGAACGAGAGCGACCGGUGCUUGCACUGGUCAAUCUAGUGGCGAACGGGUGAGUAACACGUGGGUAACCUGCCCAUCAGAGGGGGAUAACAUCCGGAAACGGAUGCUAAAACCGCAUAGGUCUUCGAGCCGCAUGGCUUGAAGAGGAAAAGAGGCGCAAGCUUCUGCUGAUGGAUGGACCCGCGGUGCAUUAGCUAGUUGGUGAGGUAACGGCUCACCAAGGCCGUGAUGCAUAGCCGACCUGAGAGGGUGAUCGGCCACAUUGGGACUGAGACACGGCCCAAACUCCUACGGGAGGCAGCAGUAGGGAAUCUUCCGCAAUGGACGCAAGUCUGACGGAGCAACGCCGCGUGAGUGAAGAAGGUUUUCGGAUCGUAAAACUCUGUUGUUAGAGAAGAACAAGUGCUAGAGUAACUGUUAGCGCCCUGACGGUAUCUAACCAGAAAGCCACGGCUAACUACGUG